GACCCAUUUAGAUCAUUGACCACAUCAUGACUGUUUCUAGUCCUCCUUUCUACAUACACCACCUUUCCUCUUCUAUCACACUUGAAAUCAACAAUAAAACGCUCAAAUAAGUAGAGUUAGCAAUAACUAUCAAACAAGUUCAUAAAAUCUAGAACACAAUUGAGCAAUGACAUCAACUACUCCUCAGUCCCAAACAGGUUGGUG
rnacentral:misc_RNA from 1 species